GAUGAACGCUGGCGGCGUGCCUAAUACAUGCAAGUCGAGCGAACAGACGAGGAGCUUGCUCCUCUGACGUUAGCGGCGGACGGGUGAGUAACACGUGGAUAACCUACCUAUAAGACUGGGAUAACUUCGGGAAACCGGAGCUAAUACCGGAUAAUAUAUUGAACCGCAUGGUUCAAUAGUGAAAGACGGUUUUGCUGUCACUUAUAGAUGGAUCCGCGCCGCAUUAGCUAGUUGGUAAGGUAACGGCUUACCAAGGCAACGAUGCGUAGCCGACCUGAGAGGGUGAUCGGCCACACUGGAACUGAGACACGGUCCAGACUCCUACGGGAGGCAGCAGUAGGGAAUCUGCCGCAAUGGGCGAAAGCCUGACGGAGCAACGCCGCGUGAGUGAUGAAGGUCUUCGGAUCGUAAAACUCUGUUAUUAGGGAAGAACAAAUGUGUAAGUAACUAUGCACGUCUGGACGGUACCUAUCAGAAAGCCACGGCUAACUACGUG
rnacentral:rRNA from 1 species